UACGUAGGGUGCGAGCGUUAAUCGGAAUUACUGGGCGUAAAGCGUGCGCAGGCGGUUGUGCAAGACAGAUGUGAAAUCCCCGGGCUCAACCCGGGAACUGCUUCUGAUACUGGCGGACUUGAGGCCAGUAGGGGUCACUAGAACUGACGGUGGAGCGGUGAAAUGCGUAGAUAUCGUCAGGAAUGCCGGUGGUGAAGACGGGUGACUGGGCUGGUUCUGACACUGAGGCACGAAAGCGUGGGGAGCGAACGGG
rnacentral:rRNA from 1 species